rnacentral:rRNA from 1 species
GGAAUAUUGGGCAAUGGGCGCAAGCCUGACCCAGCAACGCCGCGUGAAGGAAGAAGGCUUUCGGGUUGUAAACUUCUUUUGUCAGGGACGAAGAAAGUGACGGUACCUGACGAAUAGGCCACGGCUAACUACGUGCCAGCAGCCGCGGUAAUACGUAGGUGGCAAGCGUUAUCCGGAUUUAUUGGGUGUAAAGGGCGUGCAGGCGGGAAUGCAAGUCAGAUGUGAAAACUAUGGGCUCAACCCAUAGCCUGCAUUUGAAACUGUGUUUCUUGAGUGCUGGAGAGGCAAUCGGAAUUCCGUGUGUAGCGGUGAAAUGCGUAGAUAUACGGAGGAACACCAGUGGCGAAGGCGGAUUGCUGGACAGUAACUGACGCUGAGGCGCGAAAGCGUGGGGAGCAAACA